GAAGUAUCACCAUCCGACGAUCUGUUGGCAUCUUUCCUGGCCCCCCCGUCGGAGGCCCC
rnacentral:tRNA from 1 species